GAAAUGCGAUAAGUAGUGUGAAUUGCAGAAUUCAGUGAAUCAUCGAAUCUUUGAACGCACAUUGCGCCCCUUGGUAUUCCAUGGGGCAUGCCUGUUCGAGCGUCAUUUGUACCCUCAAGCUCUGCUUGGUGUUGGGUGUUUGUCCCCGUCUCCGCGCGUGGACUCGCCCCAAAGUGAUUGGCAACCGGCGUACUGGUCCCGGAGCGCAGCACAUGUCGCGCAAACGAGUGCCUUGGUACGGCGGCGUCCAUAAGCCCCUCUCUCACGCUCUUGACCUCGGAUCAGGUAGGGAUACCCGCUGAACUUAAGC
rnacentral:misc_RNA from 1 species